rnacentral:rRNA from 1 species
UACGGGGGGAGCAAGCGUUGUUCGGAUUUACUGGGCGUAAAGGGCGCGUAGGCGGCCACCGCAAGUCGACUGUGAAAUCUCCGGGCUUAACCCGGAAAGGUCAGCCGAUACUGCGGGGCUAGAGUGCGGAAGGGGCAACUGGAAUUCUCGGUGUAGCGGUGAAAUGCGUAGAUAUCGAGAGGAACACCUGCGGCGAAGGCGGGUUGCUGGGCUGACACUGACGCUGAGGCGCGAAAGCCAGGGGAGCGAACGGG